rnacentral:rRNA from 1 species
GACGAACGCUGGCGGCGUGCUUAACACAUGCAAGUCGAACGGUAAGGCCUUCGGGUACACGAGUGGCGAACGGGUGAGUAACACGUGGGUGAUCUGCCCUGCACUUUGGGAUAAGCCUGGGAAACUGGGUCUAAUACCGAAUAGGACCACGCGCUUCAUGGUGUGUGGUGGAAAGCUUUUGCGGUGUGGGAUGGGCCCGCGGCCUAUCAGCUUGUUGGUGGGGGAAUGGCCUACCAAGGCGACGACGGGUAGCCGGCCUGAGAGGGAGACCGGCCACACUGGGACUGAGAAAGUGCCCAGACGCCUACGGGAGGCAGCAGUGGGGAAUAUUGCACAAUGGGCGCAAGCCUGAUGCAGCGACGCCGCGUGAGGGAUGACGGCCUUCGGGUUGUAAACCUCUUUCAGUAGGGACGAAGCGCAAGUGACGGUACCUAUAGAAGAAGGACCGGCCAACUACGUGCCAGCCGCCGCCGUAA